AGAGAGUCCUCAUUCUCCAAAGUCCAAAACGUAUAAACUUUGGGUUCAAUUGGUUGUCUGUUUAAAUACCUGGACUCCUGAGUCCGUCAUUUUUUUUGGUUGCAAUUCAUCGACUUCAUGGAAGUUGUGAAGGAUCAAUGGUUUCCUUCGACCGGGACUGUGAAUGGUUCAAAGAUCAGGCAUCGAAAUCCCAUGGGUCGACAACGCAGCAGCAGCAGAACUACCGAAAGAGGAGAUUCAGAGACUGAUACUGAAAAUAUUGGUCCAAUAGACUCUUCAUCUGCUCGUGUUUUUCGUAGUAUUUCUCAGUUUCAUUCGAACAAGACUUUUGAUCGUAGUGAGCUCACAAUUCCUCUUUGUGGAAGUAAUUGCCACAUCAGCAAUAGUAAUGAUGUUGAAGAAGAUGGUAGAAGUUUGUGGCAUUUUGAACAUUCACUCCCAUUACUAAUGCUGAAUGAGGUCAUAGGCAAAGAAAAUAUAAAUUUCUUCUGCCUAGUUCUAGGAUUCAUGAAUAAUCAGACUGCAUUCGGUGGUAGUGGCUCCCUUUUCUUUUCAGGAAAAACACUCUCAUGUUUUGCAUCACUUUGGAGAUAAGUUGAAGAUCCUUAUGUAAUGUCUGUGUAUUUAUGUGCAUAGGUUUAUAUAUAAUGUGUAUUAUGUUGUGUUAUGGCUCAAAUUUAAGCAAAAAGUUAAAGGAAAAAGAAAAUAAAAGGUGGUGGGACCUACCAUUAAACCAACUAAGGGCCAAGAGACCACAAAUGGUCUCAUUUCUCUCCUUCUCUCCCGUGCGCCUCUCUCUUCCCCUCUUCCUCUCUGUUUUUCUUUUUAUUUUGAUUUCCAAAAUUUUGAAGCAAGAUCUUGAUCUCAUUUCUUAUCGAAAUUGAGUGCCGUUUGAGGCAAAACGAAGCUCGUGUCAAGCUCUACACAUCCAUACAAGCGAUUUCAGAUUUAGUGCACUCCUUGGAGUUUGAAUCUUAGGACCCAUUUCUAGGGUUUGUGAAGAAAAUUGGGGUUUUUGCUCAAUUAGAGGAACCGGUGAGGAGGUAGUGGAUGCCGAUCUUCCACAAGCUUAAGGAUGACUUAGAGCUCAUUUUGCAUCUUUUGUAUAUCUCCCAUUUUUGUAAGGCCCCAAAAGUGUAGUAAUGUGUAUUUAUUUUUUUUCAAAACCAUGGUUAGGUAAUAUAAUUAUAUUACUAGAUGAUAUUUUGGAUGUGAGUUUGAUAUCAUGUAAACCUUAUUGAUGCAUGGGGAGAGUAAUACUAGUUUGAGGUAUUAUCGAGGUCAUUUGAUUGUGUAUCAUGCCGAUCUUCCACAAGCUUAAGGAUGACUUGGAGCUCAUUUUGCAUCUUUUGUAUAUCUCCCAUUUUUGUAAGGCCCCAAAAGUGUAGUAAUGUGUAUUUAUUUUUUUUCAAAACCAUGGUUAGGUAAUAUAAUUAUAUUACUAGAUGAUAUUUUGGAUGUGAGUUUGAUAUCAUGUAAACCUUAUUGAUGCAUGGGGAGAGUAAUACUAGUUUGAGGUAUUAUCGAGGUCA